UGCCCAGAUAGCUCAGUCGGUAGAGCAGAGGACUGAAAAUCCUCGUGUCGCUGGUUCGAUUCCGGCUCUGGGCAUC
rnacentral:tRNA from 2 species